GUGAAAUCAUGGAUUGAAAGGACAUCUGCACGGGAUCUGAGGAGUAGGGAAAUAGAGGCAGGUGUCUAUCUAUGGAUACUGUAUGGGCUGUUUUGGACAAAUGAGAUAUAUGUGUAAGUAAAAUGAAGUCUUAAUUAUUCUCUGCUGGUACUCUCAAUAGGCUAUAUUGUGUUGCGUUAACGUGUGUUUGGAGAGUUAACGGGCGAACUUUGAGUGAGUAUUGUGUGCUUGUUUGGAGUUCAUCCUUUUACUCUGAGCGUUGUCCGUUGUGGUAAAAUAACCUUGGCUAGCUUACUGUCUUGCAGUGUUGGCGAAAUAAAGCCUUAAACAUGCGAAUCUGCACUCUGUCUCCGCACUCGGUAACUGGUUUAAUUGUAGGCUAGUGCACACAGAAUCCUUGUGCGUCGUCGUCCCGUGUACCCUUUAUUUAUUUAAUUAUUAAUUAAUUAAAUAAUUUAUUUAUUUAUUUAUUUUUGAGUCGCCGGAUCCACCCAUCAUCUGCGUUCCGGCACCUCCCACUUUACAAAUUAAGCACUGCCUAAACCCAUGGGCGAGGACCCAUUGGAGGGCAAGUCUGGUGCCUACAGCCGCGGUAAUUCCAGCUCAAACAGCAUAUAUUAAAGUUGCUGCAGCUAAAAAGCUCGUAGUUAGAUGUCGGGAGUGGGUUGGCGGUCCACCGCAAGGCGUGCCACCGUCUGUCCCGUACCCCUGCCUCCCGGCGCUCCCGGAUUUCCUUAGCUGGGUGUCCGACAGGGCCCGGAGCGUUUACCUUGAAAAAUAUUAGAAUGUUCAAAGCAGACCGCAGCACACCUGAAUACCGCAGCUAGGAAUAAUGGAAUAGGACUCCUGUUCUAUUUUGUGGGUUUUCGGAACCAGGGCCAUGAUUAAGAGGGACGGCCGGGGGCAUUCGUAUUGCGCCGCUAGAGGUGAAAUUCUUGGACCGGCGCAAGACAGACGAAAGCGAAAGCAUUUGCCAAGAAUGUUUUCAUUAAUCAAGCAAGAAAGUGGGAGGUUUGAAGACGAUCAGAUACCGCCAUAGUUCCAACCGUAAACGAUGGCGACUCGCGAUCCGGCGGCGUUAUUCCCAUGACCCGCCAGGCAGCGUGCCGGAAACCACGAGUCUUUGGGUUCCGGGGGGAGUAUGGUUGCAAAGCUGAAACUUAAAGGAAUUGACGGAAGGGCACCACCAGGAGUGGAGCCUGCGGCUUAAUUUGACUCAACACGGGAAACCUCACCCGGCCCGGACACGGAAAGGAUUGACAGAUUGAUAGCUCUUUCUCGAUUCUGUGGGUGGUGGUGCAUGGCCGUUCUUAGUUGGUGGAGCUAUUUGUCUGGUUAAUUUCCGAUAACGAACGAGACUCCUCCAUGCUAAAUAGUUACGCGGCCCCUGGUGGUUGGCGUUUCAACUUCUUAGAGGGACAAGGGGCGUUUAGCCACGCGAGAUGGAGCAAUAACAGAUCUGUGAUGCCCUUAGAUGUCCAGGGCUGCACGCGCGCCACAAUGGGUGGAUCUGCGUGUGUCUACUCUACGCCGACAGGCGCGGGUAACCCGCUAAACCCCACACAUGAUUGGUGCUGGGGAUUGAAACAAUUUCCCAUCAACGAGGAAUUCUCAGCUUACUUACCGCUUCGGUGGGGAGCGGAGGGCCCUUCUCUCCGCCCCGGCGGUUGGCUUAAAGUUUCCCCGGCUUCGGUGGGGGGAGCUCGGUCAAAAAACAAACCCAAAACCUUUUGUCUCUGGAUGUCUGGGCCGAACAAAAUCAAACAA
rnacentral:rRNA from 1 species